rnacentral:lncRNA from 1 species
CUUUAGAGAAUUAAGAUUAAGAUGUUUUUCCUUCAAAUUCAUAAGCCAUUGUUUUUGGAUCCAUUUGUCAUCAUUGGAAACUUCUUUUGAGAGGAAAAUGCUAUUGAUCACAAAUGCAAAAGCCUUUGUUGUUUAAUCUCCUUUCCUUGACUUAUUUCAUAUAUGGAAAAUUUCAAAUGCAAAAUCUAAAACGAAUGAAAGAAUAAAAGAGAAGGUUUUUGUUUCUAAUUAGGAGAAGGUGGAAGAGAAGAGAGAGAAAGGUUUUAGAAUGCCAACUGUGG